rnacentral:rRNA from 1 species
GACGAACGCUGGCGGCGUGCUUAACACAUGCAAGUCGAACGGUAAGGCCCUUCGGGUACACGAGUGGCGAACGGGUGGAGUAACACGUGGGUGAUCUGCCCUGCACUUCGGGAUAAGCCUGGGAAACUGGGUCUAAUACCGGAUAGGACCAUGGACUUCACGGUUUGUGGUGGAAAGCUUUUGCGGUGUGGGAUGGGCCCGCGGCCUAUCAGCUUGUUGGUGGGGUAAUGGCCUACCAAGGCGACGACGGGUAGCCGGCCUGAGAGGGUGUCCGGCCACACUGGGACUGAGAUACGGCCCAGACUCCUACGGGAGGCAGCAGUGGGGAAUAUUGCACAAUGGGCGCAAGCCUGAUGCAGCGACGCCGCGUGAGGGAUGACGGCCUCGGUUGUAAC